UAAUCAGCAGGGCCUCCACAGGUCAUCAAGCUCCUUCCCGAGCAGGCUCUGCCCACAGGAUGGCCCUGUGAUAGGACGGUCCCCAGCCUGCCUGUGGCUGGGGGGGAGGAGGACAGGGUGGAAACGGAUAGACGGCUGCAGUACGAUGGGGUCACC